rnacentral:rRNA from 1 species
UAUGGUCCUUUUGUGCCCGCCGCCGCGGUAAUACGGAGGAUCCGAGCGUUAUCCGGAUUUAUUGGGUUUAAAGGGAGCGUAGGCGGGUUGUUAAGUCAGUUGUGAAAGUUUGCGGCUCAACCGUAAAAUUGCAGUUGAUACUGGCGACCUUGAGUGCAACAGAGGUAGGCGGAAUUCGUGGUGUAGCGGUGAAAUGCUUAGAUAUCACGAAGAACUCCGAUUGCGAAGGCAGCUUACUGGAUUGUAACUGACGCUGAUGCUCGAAAGUGUGGGUAUCAAACAGG